UGGCAGUGAGGGACACCAAAGUACCCUGUCCCUGCAGAGGGGACUCAGAGACGGCAGCUCCUCGGAGCCAGCAGCCCAGCACAGUGUGAAGCAGGCACAAGCUGCAUCCCAUUGAAGGAAGCCUGUAUUUUACAGCACUCCUUGGCCACACGCUGGGCUCUGCCUUGACUGAACGUUGCUCCGGCCGGUGGUACCCACGGACCCACCUCUUCCAAACACCCUGUCUGUGCAGCGGCUCCUCCCGGGCGCUCCCUCACACGGACCCCCCCCAUCCCCGCUGUGUCC